rnacentral:lncRNA from 1 species
AGUCCAGCAUCAGCACUAGAAGGGCAGCAGUUUAGAAAGCCCAGUCCCAAGGCGCAGCGUGCGUCAGCAAGACAGCAGAAGCAGGAGGAGAGCUGGCGGGAAGACAUGCACCCCUUGAAGACCCAGAGAGAGGCCGUCUGUCUACCGCGUAGCAGUUACAUCAGACUGAGACACUUCCUGUUUACAGGAGACUAUAAAAUUCCUGCCCCGUGCUCAUUUGGGGCUGACGCCAUUUUAGGCCUCAGCCCAUCUGCACCCAGGCGCUCACUGAAACAGUGUGUUGCUCCACACCGCCUUGUUUUGCUUGUUGGCGCGCUCUCAGGGUUCCGACCAAUCCAAGAGCCUUGCAGAAAGCAUUAACGUGCUUUUCUCUUUGGCAGAGUUUUUCUUUGCUCUGAUCUUGGAGACAUCCCUCUGCCUAGUGGAAACAUAAGGAAUACAGAAAGAAUGCAAGGAGAUAGACCAACGUGAGAUUCUCCUUCAUGCACUCAAGAGAAAGAUGUUGCAGGAAGAGCUAGUCUUUCAGGCUGGGCUGGUGACCUGAGAAAGAAUGUCCAGCUUUUCUUCUCCACUUGGCAUAUCAAGAGCCAGGCGUGGAAGACUAAAACAGGAAAUGUUUAUAAAAACUGUUCAGCGGUUCGCCAACAAGAAGUGGUAAAGUAGCAAAAAUGGGGAUGGAGAUGCCAGGAGGAAAGAUGCCAGGGGUAAAGUGGGAAAAUGGGAACCUGAAGCCAGGAGGUCAAGCCAAGCCAACAGGUGUUCUGUUUUUCAAUGAGGAGGUGGGGCACAGGAUGGAUGGAAACUUUCCACAGUCACAGAACUAAUAAGUGGUGCUGAGGACUCAAACCCGGGGAAGCCCACUCUAGAACCCAUGCUGGUCAUCCAUAUCCCCAAGGCCCUGGUCAGAACACAGCUAAGCAGAUGGCUUGGGUCAUCAGGACGUCCAUUACAUCCAAAGGAAGACAGCCUGUGACGUUUCAAAAGCAAAAGUCCCCUACCAGCCAGUGAAGCUACCUGAUUUCUCAGUAUCUUACGCCCAGUGACACGAUCUACCCUCAAAACUUAAAAAAAAAAGGGAAACAUAAACACAUAACAGCAGCAGCAAUAAUUAAAGAUGAGAUGAGAACAAUUAAGAAAAAAGGAAAGGUCUCCUGUGACUGUUUUAUUUUUAGGGAAACAGAGAGGAAGAAGAAUGAUUUUUCUUUUGAUGACUCUAUAUCCAACUCUGAGGUUUGAUUAAAGAAAUGACCUUGAACCACAGCAAAGAAAAAUAAAAGACAAUUUCCAGUAAGUAUGCCAGUUCGAAUUAAUGAUUUACUUUUUAUUUUUAAACUGAAUUCAGCAGAGAUUUACAUGCAUUACGAUGAUUAACAUCUGAAAUUUGACCUUGAAAUAAUCUUUACAUUGUAAAUUCUUAAUGAUCAAAACAAGGUUCUCAGUGAUUAAAACAUAUUAGUAAUUAAUUAUUAAAGGAGAAUAAUUGCAAAUACAACAUUCCUAAAAUCUCAAGGCUUUUAAAGCAUUUGUACAAAUGACUGGACAUUUUUUAAAUUUGAA